rnacentral:lncRNA from 10 species
AUUGAAUUAAAAUGCAUAGGAGAAAUAUGUAACCAAACCUGGGAAACCAGAGAGACUUCCCAGAGGAGAUGAUGCCUGAGAGCUCGAAAGGUUGAGAAAGUUACCUAGGUAGAAGGAAUGUGGAAGUGGAAGGCAUUUCAGGCAAGAGCAGAGGUCAAGGGGGAAGUCUGCUAUGUUCUAGAAACUGCUAGUCAUUUGGCUGCAGUUUAGGGUUCAUGAGGGACAGUGGCUGCAGGAGGAGGCCAGGUCAUUUAUUUGUAUGUUCAUUAAUUGAUUUGGUAGACACUGAUACAUACAGUGUGCUGAGUCCUAAAGGUGCGAGAUGAACUGGACAACCCUUGCUCUUCAGGAGUUUGUGAAUUAUCUAGAAGAUGCUUUAUCUUAGAUGGAGAGCUUCUGAGGAGUUUAAUAAGGGAUAG